CUUUGGGAUAACCCUCGGAGACGGGGGCUAAUACCGGAUAUGACCUUGCAUCGCAUGGUGUGGGGUGGAAAGUUUUUCGGCUUGGGAUGGGCUCGCGGCCUAUCAGCUUGUUGGUGGGGUGAUGGCCUACCAAGGCGACGACGGGUAGCCGGCCUGAGAGGGCGACCGGCCACACUGGGACUGAGACACGGCCCAGACUCCUACGGGAGGCAGCAGUGGGGAAUAUUGCACAAUGGGCGGAAGCCUGAUGCAGCGACGCCGCGUGAGGGAUGACGGCCUUCGGGUUGUAAACCUCUUUCAGUAGGGACGAAGCGUGAGUGACGGUACCUACAGAAGAAGCGUCGGCCAACUACGUGCCAGCAGCCGCGGUAAGACGUAGGGCGCGAGCGUUGUCCGGAUUUAUUGGGCGUAAAGAGCUCGUAGGCGGCUUGUCGCGUCGACUGUGAAAACCCGGGGCUCAACUGCGGGCUUGCAGUCGAUACGGGCAGGCUAGAGUUCGGUAGGGGAGACUGGAAUUCCUGGUGUAGCGGUGAAAUGCGCAGAUAUCAGGAGGAACACCGGUGGCGAAGGCGGGUCUCUGGGCCGAUACUGACGCUGAGGAGCGAAAGCGUGGGGAGCGAACAGGAUUAGAUACCCUGGUAGUCCACGCUGUAAACGUUGGGCGC
rnacentral:rRNA from 1 species